rnacentral:rRNA from 1 species
GAUGAACGCUGGCGGCGUGCCUAAUACAUGCAAGUCGAGCGAACGGACGAGGAGCUUGCUUCUCUGAUGUUAGCGGCGGACGGGUGAGUAACACGUGGAUAACCUACCUAUAAGACUGGGAUAACUUCGGGAAACCGGAGCUAAUACCGGAUAAUAUUUUGAACCGCAUGGUUCAAAAGUGAAAGACGGUCUUGCUGUCACUUAUAGAUGGAUCCGCGCUGCAUUAGAUAGUUGGUAAGGUAACGGCUUACCAAGGCAACGAUGCAUAGCCGACCGGAGAGGCGGAUAGGCCACACGGGAGCGUGGACAGGGACAAGACGACUGCGGGAGGCAGCAGUAGGGUAUCGGCGGCAGUAGGCGAGAGCCUGACGGAGCGGGGCGGCGUGAGUGAUGGAGGUCUUCGGAUCGUAAAGCUCUGUUAUUAGGGAAGAACAGAUGUGUAAGUAACUGUGCACAGCUUGACGGUACCUGAUAAGAAAGCCACGGCUAACUACGUG